UAAGAAUAUUAGUCAAUGCUCGCAAGAGUGAACUAGCUAACUGAAAUCAUAGAAUUUCUUCAAAUUCAUGAUGUCGUAAGGGAAAAUAAUGAUAAUACCUUACUAUGAGUGUCGUCCAAAUCUGGUGCCAGAAGACUCGGUAAGACCAGAGACGCAAACGUUAAUCAUCAUAAACAGGCGUAAAGGGUUUGUAGGCAGCUUUCACCAAACUAUGAUUACAAAAUAAAGUAGUUUAAUUGAAAGCUAGAAUCAAAAAGAGGUUAUAGUGUAUAACGCCUAGAGGAGGGCUGAUAUCCAUAGAUCCUAGGCAGAAUACUCAGGGCGAAGGCCACUCUCCACUACUGAUUGACGGUGAGAAACGAAGGUUAGGGUAGGAAAUAGGAUUAGAUACCCCGGUACUCCUUUCUGUAAACGAUGAAUGGUAGUCAUUAGUUUUAUAACUAGAGACGAAGUUAACACAAUAACCAUUCCGCCUUGUGAGUACUACUGCAAAGUAGAAAACAAAAAAAUUAGUCGGUCUCGAAGCAAACGGAGUGAAGCUAG
rnacentral:rRNA from 1 species